GGACAGGUGGCUGAGUGGUUGAAGGCACUCGACUCGAAAUCGAACGUAGGCUAAUACCCUACCGUGGGUUCAAAUCCCACCCUGUCCGCCA
rnacentral:tRNA from 1 species